rnacentral:rRNA from 1 species
UACAGAGGUCUCAAGCGUUGUUCGGAUUCAUUGGGCGUAAAGGGCGCGUAGGCGGUCAGCACAAGUCAGUUGUGAAAUCUCCGGGCUUAACUCGGAAAGGUCAACUGAUACUGUGCGACUAGAGUGCAGAAGGGGCAACUGGAAUUCUCGGUGUAGCGGUGAAAUGCGUAGAUAUCUGGAGGAACACCGGUGGCGAAGGCGGCAUCCUGGACCAAUUCUGACGCUGAGGAGCGAAAGCCAGGGGAGCAAACAGG